rnacentral:rRNA from 1 species
UUAAAAAGCUCGUAGUUGGAUUUCUGCUUGAGAGGGACGGCAGGCGUCAUUGACGUUUAGUCUGACUUCUCGUGCAUCCUGUCGCGAACCACGUUGCUCUUAAUUGAGUGGCGUCGGGGAUCGAUUCGUUUACUUUGAGAAAAAUAGAGUGUUCAAAGCAGGCUUACGCAUCUGAAUAAGUUAGCAUGGAAUAAUGAUAAAGGACUUUGGUUCUAUUUGUUGGUGUUCGGAACUGAAGUAAUGAUUGAUAGGGACAGUUGGGGGCAUCAGUAUUUCGAAGCGAGAGGUGAAAUUCUAGGACCUUCGAAAGACUAACCGCUGCGAAAGCGUUUGCCAAGGAUGUUCCCUUUGAUCAAGAACGAAAGUUGGGGGAUCGAAGACGAUCAGAUACCGUCGUAGUCUCAACUAUAAACUAUACCAGCUAGGGAUCGGCCGGCGUUUAUUUCUAAGGGCCCGGUCGGCACCUUAUGAGAAAUCAAAGCAUUUGGGUUCCGGGGGGA